GAGAGAGAGAUGGAGAGAGAAAAAGAAAAAAAGAAAGAAAGGGGACGAUAUUAGUGUGAAAAUAGUU
rnacentral:ribozyme from 1 species